UUCCCUAUUCUCUGUACCCUAAUUUUCCCUAUUAUCUCCAUCCUCCCUCAUUUCUUGCAAACACAUUGCCAUCAUCAGACCUCAUUAACACCACACUUGAAUCUCACCACCACUGUCAUCGUCGCAUACCUCGUCCCGCCGAAACUGAAACGCAAUGUGAAUGCCGCACUUGGAGCUCACAGUGGCACCACGCCUAAACCUCAUCAUGCGCCAGCGCACCUAUACCUAAUGGUCGUGGGCCACCGGACUCUCAUCUCGGUAGUUUGGCUCCAAUUUUGGGAAAAGUAUUGGGCCACAAAACCCACAUCUUCAAGUCUUGAGUGUUCCAUAGAAAAUCAAGAGUAUCAGAAACAAUUUUUCAAUUUGCUUACUUCGAUUAAGGAGAUGAAUCGACCAUGAGUGCCUUGGCUGGGACUGAGAUUGAAGUUAUGGUGGUUAUCCCUAAUAUCCAACUUGUUGAUAGGAAUGGCUAUGGCAAGUGGGUUAAGAAAAAAAAAUCUCGCGUUACAACUUCAAUGGGAGUGCUAAUGUCAAGGUUGUAUGUGGAAUAGUAUAAUCCAUGAGCCAUGUGCAGGGUUAUGGCAAUCAAAUUGGAAGUUUCCGGUGACAUGCUGCAGUCUCGACCAGAUGUUGGGAAUCGUGUGCUACUUUCAGAUGGUGUGAUCAGAAUUAAAAUAUUUUAGGAUUAGGAUAAAAAAUUUAGUUGUAAAAUUACUAGAUGAAUUUGUAAUGUUUUUUUUUUAUAUAUAUUUGAACAAGGUACU